GCACAGACAAAGAAAGCCAUCAUUGCUGCAGGAGAACACAAGGAAGAUGGAGCGGGACGCAGAGCCACAGAGCGCAACAGGCAGAUGCAGCUGCAGAGCCAAAGGGCAGUCCAAGGAGCUGAGGCCACGAGUUAUACUCACUCUGGCAAGCUACACACAUUCUGGACAGCUGGGGCAAGCUGUCCAGACAAGGUGCAGCAGCAGUGGUGCGUGAGUGUGGGGCAGCAGCGGAAGGGACAAGAUGGCUACGGAGCUAAAAGUGGAUUGGAGAGGGCGGCAUGUUGGUGGAGCGGCUGGAUAAUUGGACACAGUGACGGACUGGCAAGAGACUCUGUACUGUAAAAAGAGACUUAAUUCCUUUUAUCCUAUAUUUAUUGGACUUUAAUCUUUUUACUUUUUUACCAUUUUACACAAAGCCUUGGUUUUAGAUUGCUAGUUUUAAUAACCUUGCAUUGUACAUCCAUAUUUAUCGAAUCAUUUGUGAAUAAAUUAUUCAACUGGA